AUGAGUAUCGCAUUACUGCUUUAGGUUAUCCGUUAACCAAGGCUGCUAAUGAACUACAUUGUUAUCAAGUCAGAUAAAAGAUGCCCUGGGAGUUCAGGCAAAUUAUUACAACACAGCGCUUUGUUUUGAAAUAUAACUCAUCUUUACCACACACAAGCUGAGUAACCUAAUCUAAGGAGAACCAUUCCAUGUGGCCACCUGGAUUUCUAUUGAAUGAAAAGGCAAAGAGUAUUCUUUAAUGCAGCCCAGAAACCCAGGGUACUAUUAAGGGGAGAGAAAUGUGAAUGGGGCCUGCGUCACGCAGCCUUGGGUUUGUGUCUCUUCCAGUGCGUCCUCCAUGAUAAGGUACGGACAUUGCCAUAGUCACUACAAAAUAAUCCUAUAAGCAUAACAACAGUCACUUGCUUUGGUGUAGCUCACUACAGGCCAUGGCAG
rnacentral:lncRNA from 1 species